CCCUGACAGGUGCAAUACCGCGCCUGACAUUAGCCUAGACAGGAGAUACUCAUG
rnacentral:ncRNA from 1 species